CAGGGGCAUUGAGGGAAGCGGGGGCACCAGGAAUGUGCUGGGGUAAGGGAAGGUGCCAGGGGAUUCGGGGGUGAAGCAGAAGGGCAGACACCUGCACAGGAGGGAGGCAGGGCAGGUGUGUGGAGGGAGGUGUUAGGGGAGGGGUAGAUAUACAUGCUUAGAGUGGGGCUACUGGAGGAGUGUGCAUAGGGGGGAGAGAAGGGCUGGAGCAGGAGUCAGGGCAGCAGGGGAGUUGAUGGAGUAAGGGGAGGAGACAGGGCAGCAGAGGGAAAAGGUAGAGAUUUAUAAGCUAUUUAUUAGUAAUGUGGGGGGCACAUCCAAACAAGCCACAUGAAUUCCAUACUGGUGCACAACACAAAAUUCAUUCCACUUCGCCCAGCCUUCCCCCACCCCAAGUUAAUGUGAUACACAUUGGGUUAAUGUAAUUGCAGGAUAGUUGCAUGAGAGGGGUCCGGUGGGGGCCAAACUUAUCUCUGUUGGUAAAAGGAUGGUGGAAGAAGUUCUUAGAAGGGGUCACAUAAUACUUUUUACUUCUAGUCGUGUCCAUUUUGACUGCGAGUGUUACCUCCAGAGGAAGACCAUCAGACGGAAGAGGAUGCAGGAGGGACCGCACCCCCCCGCAUGGACUCACGAACUAUGCCAGAGAAAAAUUUUGUUCUGCUUUAUGGGUGGUGCCCUCGAGGUCACAUUGACUGAGCUUUAAACACCCAUCACUUAUACCCCAGUUGAGCCAUCCCAGCUGGACGACGCAAUUCGCUGAGGGACCAGCUCAAGGGAAGCAUUAACUUCUUUUACCUGGUGCACCAGGAUUAAUUUUUGUUUUCUGUUGUCAGCUCAAGUAAACCACCAGUGAGAAAAUGA